GAUGAACGCUGGCGGCGUGCCUAAUACAUGCAAGUCGAGCGAACGGACGAGAAGCUUGCUUCUCUGAUGUUAGCGGCGGACGGGUGAGUAACACGUGGAUAACCUACCUAUAAGACUGGGAUAACUUCGGGAAACCGGAGCUAAUACCGGAUAAUAUUUUGAACCGCAUGGUUCAAAAGUGAAAGACGGUCUUGCUGUCACUUAUAGGUGGAUCCGCGCUGCAUUAGCUAGUUGGUAAGGUAACGGCUUACCAAGGCAACGAUGCAUAGCCGACCUGAGAGGGUGAUCGGCCACACUGGAACUGAGACACGGUCCAGACUCCUACGGGAGGCAGCAGUAGGGAAUCUUCCGCAAUGGGCGAAAGCCUGACGGAGCAACGCCGGGUGAGUGAUGAAGGUCUUCGGAUCGUAAAACUCUGUUAUUAGGGAAGAACAUAUGUGUAAGUAACUGUGCACAUCUUGACGGUACCUAAUCAGAAAGCCACGGCUAACUACGUG
rnacentral:rRNA from 1 species